UUGGUUGCAAGCUCAACUUACACUGGUUAUAAAUCUAUUAACUCUAAAAACUGUAGAUAUCUGUUCACGUUUUUCUACAGUGUUUCAUCACAUUUACCAGUGAGUGAAGUUUGAAAUUAUCAUCUUGGAUGAUAGCAGUGAUAUUCAACCAUUUUGAAGAGCUUGCAACCAACAUGACGUCAUAAAUUAGUGGACAUAUUCACACUCAUUUACAUAUCAAACUAAUUGAAAUAUC